CGAGCGGUAACAUUUCUAGCUUGCUAGAAGAUGACGAGCGGCGGACGGGUGAGUAAUACUUAGGAAUCUACCUAGUAGUGGGGGAUAGCUCGGGGAAACUCGAAUUAAUACCGCAUACGACCUACGGGAGAAAGGGGGCAACUUGUUGCUCUCGCUAUUAGAUGAGCCUAAGUCGGAUUAGCUAGAUGGUGGGGUAAAGGCCUACCAUGGCGACGAUCUGUAGCUGGUCUGAGAGGAUGAUCAGCCACACCGGGACUGAGACACGGCCCGGACUCCUACGGGAGGCAGCAGUGGGGAAUAUUGGACAAUGGGGGAAACCCUGAUCCAGCCAUGCCGCGUGUGUGAAGAAGGCCUUUUGGUUGUAAAGCACUUUAAGCAGUGAAGAAGACUCUUCGGUUAAUACCCGGAGACGAUGACAUUAGCUGCAGAAUAAGCACCGGCUAACUCUGUGCCAGCAGCCGCGGUAAUACAGAGGGUGCAAGCGUUAAUCGGAAUUACUGGGCGUAAAGCGAGCGUAGGUGGCUUGAUAAGUCAGAUGUGAAAUCCCCGGGCUUAACCUGGGAACUGCAUCUGAUACUGUCAGGCUAGAGUAGGUGAGAGGAAGGUAGAAUUCCAGGUGUAGCGGUGAAAUGCGUAGAGAUCUGGAGGAAUACCGAUGGCGAAGGCAGCCUUCUGGCAUCAUACUGACACUGAGGCUCGAAAGCGUGGGUAGCAAACAGGAUUAGA
rnacentral:rRNA from 2 species